UGGGGAAUCUUCCGCAAUGGACGAAAGCCUGACGGAGCAACGCCGCGUGAGUGAAGACGGCCUUCGGGUUGUAAAGCUCUGUGAUCUGGGACGAAAGAGCCUGAGGUGAAUAGCCUAAGGCAGUGACGGUACCGGAAAAGCAAGCCACGGCUAACUACGUGCCAGCAGCCGCGGUAAUUCGUAGGUGGCAAGCGUUGUCCGGAAUUAUUGGGCGUAAAGCGCGCGCAGGCGGCUUCCUAAGUCCAUCUUAAAAGUGCGGGGCUUAACCCCGAGGUGGGGUGGAAACUGGGAAGCUGGAGUAUCGGAGAGGAAAGUGGAAUUCCUAGUGUAGCGGUGAAAUGCGUAGAGAUUAGGAAGAACACCGGGGGCGAAGGCGACUUUCUGGACGAAAACUGACGCUGAGGCGCGAAAGCGUGGGGAGCAAACAGG
rnacentral:rRNA from 1 species